CGAGGGCGGUGCGGAGCCCGCUGCAGCUGUGACUGCUGCAAAUGUUUAUAAACUUCUGAAAGAAAACUGUAAUUCAUCUACAAACACAGAUGCAAGGACAUUCCCAGCAUGUUCAUUGGCUGGUAUCCCAGGCAUAAGGAAAUGGUAUUUUGCAAGUCAUGUUAUAUGUGGUUAUUAUCAGGUAAGAAAUAUUUUUUUCAUAAUGUAAGUUCCACAGUUCUCUGCCUAGUGCAAGUUAAAAC